GAAGCUAUGGUCUAACCUCUAGCAGCUUGACAGGUGUUUUUUUCGUUGCCAUAAAAACAUGGAUGUGAGUCAGAUAAUCGAUUCAAUUGUUAUGUUUUUGCAUCACGAGAUGUAGCAUCAGCCUCUGGGAACACUGAGGGAGAACUUUACCUUGAAUUGAAAGCUGGAAAUUGAUUUUUUUCUGGAGUAAAAGAAAGAAAGGUUAAGCUCCUUCUUAAGGGAGGAUCUCCUUUUGUCUCUAUUGUUGUUGUUUUUAUCAACAUGGACAUGUACGGAUACAGCGGGGUCUUCUUGGUGAAGAGAUUCCUGGACAGUGAUGGUGUUGUUGAAGUCAGUAACAUGUCUGAUAUCAACAAGGCGAGUCCUCAAGGCUGUGAUAACGGAGCUCUGACGGACCGGUUCGGCGUCCUGAUCCAGGGACUGCUGGCUGUCGUUGCCUUCAGCACACUAAUGUUGAAGAGGUUCCGGGAGCCUGUAGGGAUCAGACGACCGUGGAGGAUCUGGUUUUUCGACACAUCCAAGCAGGCCAUCGGUGCUCUUUUCAUCCACUUUGCCAACGUCUUCCUGUCCACGCUCACCGAACAGGACCCGUGCUCCCUGUAUCUGAUGAACUUCCUGCUGGAUGCCACGUUGGGGAUGCUGCUCAUCUGGCUGGCUGUGAAGUUGGUGUCCAGACUAGUUGAGUACAAGCAGUGGACGCUGCUCAUGUUUGGAGAAUAUGGUGACCCUCCCCAGGCAGCAGCGUGGCUCGGUCAGUGUGGCAUCUACCUGCUCAUCAUGGUGCUGGAGAAAGGUGUGAUCAGCCUUGUGCUGCUCGUCCCCGGAUGGUCCAAAUUGCAGGAGGUGCUGCUGAGCUACAUUGCGAACCCUCAAGUGGAGCUGGUGCUGGUCAUGCUCAUCGUGCCCUUCAUAGUGAACUCCAUCAUGUUCUGGGUGGUCGACAGCCUGAUGAUGAGGAAGUACAAGACGAUGAAGAGCCUGGACGACUCCUGCGACAGCUCGGUGAAGAAGGCCGACUCGCUGCCCUGGGCGAACAGCGAGGAGUCACGGGUGCUACUGAUGGUUGAUACAGACACCGACGAGGCUUCGGAGGGGGAGGAAGACCCAAGCGAUGCUGGACCGGUCCCUCAUGUGCUGUACUCUGGAGGACCGCUGAGACCCAGCUGGGUGGUGGUGUAAACCCAGAUGGAGUUUGCUCUGGACCCUAUCCAGUGAUUAAGACCGCGGGAUGCGGUAGAAAGCUCCAGAAAAAGCCAGUUAAGUGGACCGUUGUCAAGAAUUAACUUUCAAGCUCGACAUCACAUUCUGUCGCAUAAACUGUGUUUACGCUGAAUAGUACUGCAAAACUUUUUCAUGAUUGUGCUCGCUGGACAUCUAACGCAUUUUAACAUGGGGGUCUAUGGGGAUUGACUCGCUUUUGGAGCCUCAAGUGGCCAUUUGAGGAACUGCAGUUUUUGGCACUUCCGCGUUGGCUUCAUUUCUCAGCACCGGAGGUUGCUGCUUGAUUUAAAACUACUACUGUUUAGCUUGCCACCGGUACUGUCCAAUAUGUCGUGAGUCAUUGGCAAACAAACUGUUCUGUUGCUAAGGUAUGAGGAUGUGUUGAAAAAUACUGGAUCUUUAAGAGUAAAAUCCCAAUCUUCUAUGUAGGAGUGGAAACCCUCUACAGAUACUGACUGCAUUUAAAUUGCUAACACAUUCCUGCAGCUUUACAGUUUUCUAGAUAUCCACUCAGUGUGCUGCUUUACCUGUCUGAUCUUAGUCCCCAACAUGGAGGCGCUGGUGUCGAUCACAAACACCACAUUCUUGGGCACAACUGGCAGGUCUUUGGGGGCAAAGUAGUGGACGAAAUGGCCGUUUAAAACCUGGGAAAGAAAGAAGUUUACAGACAUGCAACAGGCAGUGAGUUGGAAUAGUCGUGUGUGAUCAGCAAAACAUAGUUUGGUUCUGAAGACAGACUGAAGAGUUUGGCAGCGGAGUGACUGUGAUGGCAGGAAACCAGAGAAAUGAAUCACUAACAGCGGAUCACAAAGUCUCCCAGGAUGCCGUUGGUGGUGAUCUUGGCCUGUUGGACGAUGUUGGGGCUGAAGACCCAGCUGCAGCAUUGGAGCUCCUGCCGUUGCGGAGCGGCAGCACCUGGAGGUCGGUGACGGGGGAGUGGUCGACGAUGGUGACGUCCAGGCUGAGGCGGCUGACCA